rnacentral:tRNA from 1 species
UGCGUCGGCCGUAAUCGAACCCGGGCCGCCCGUGUGGCAUGCGAGCAUUCUACCACUGAACCACCGAUGG